UACGAAGGGUGCUAGCGUUGUUCGGAUUUACUGGGCGUAAAGCGCGUGUAGGCGGGUCGUUUAGUUGGGGGUGAAAUCCCGAGGCUCAACCUCGGAACUGCCUUCAAGACUGGCGACCUGGACUCAAGCAGAGGCAAGUGGAAUUGCGAGUGUAGAGGUGAAAUUCGUAGAUAUUCGCAGGAACACCAGUGGCGAAGGCGACUUGCUGGGCUUGUAGUGACGCUGAGACGCGAAAGCGUGGGGAGCAAACAGG
rnacentral:rRNA from 1 species